rnacentral:rRNA from 1 species
GUCUUUUUGAAUAUAAUUUAAAGUCUAACCUGCCCACUGAAUUUUUUAAAGGGCCGCGGUAUUUUGACUGUGCAAAGGUAGCAUAAUCAUUAGUCUUUUAAUUGAAGGCUUGUAUGAAUGGUUGGAUGAGGUAAUAACUGUCUCAAAUUAAUAAAUAAUAAAAUUUUAUUUUUAAGUUAAAAAGCUUAAAUAUAAUUAGAGGACGAGAAGACCCUAUAGAUCUUUAUAAAUUAAUAAUUUUAAAUUUUUUAGUUAAAAUAUGUUUUUAUUUAUUGAUUUAUUUUAUUGGGGUGAUAAAAAAAUUUAAUAAACUUUUUUUUUAGCUAAACAAUGAUUUUUGAUUAAUUGAUCCAUUAUUAAUGAUUAAAAGAUUAAGUUACCUUAGGGAUAACAGCGUAAUUUUUUUGAAGAGUCCAUAUCGAUAAAAAAGAUUGCGACCUCGAUGUUGAAUUAAAGGUUAAUUUUAGGUGCAGAAGUUUAAAAUUUUGGUCUGUUCGACCAUUAAAUC